AGUCAUAAUAAGGGUAACUGUGUGUGUGUGUCUGUGUCUAUGUGUGUGUGCGCUGUGCAUACACACGCACAUGGUGCACUUGGGUAUGGAAUUGUGUAUACUGCCUGGCAGUAAAUGCUCAGUAGGUUUAGAUUUCUUUUUCUUUUUUGAAUGCAAAAAAUAUGGGUCCAUCUUUGAUACAGCUACCUAGGAAGUUAAGUUUUAUGAGAGAUGCUAGGCAAUGUACUUACUAACAAUUUCUUUAAUUCCAGGUUUUCAUCAUUAAAGACUCAAUACUUUGUCAAAUUUUAUAUCGGAAAAGUUUAGAAUUGGAAAGGUCACUAAAUAGCAUCCAAUCCAAAGAUUUUUAUCUUGCCCCAGUCCCUGAGUGACCCAAUCUCCUCUCAACCAAUAUGUGAUGAAAUAAGUAUUAAUAUUAACCCUAUUUUGCAGAUUAGAAAACUGAGACUUCGACGGCUUUAAUAACUUGCCUUAAGUUACUCAGGUAGGCUUAGAAAUCACAUCAGUUUUAGUCUACACUUUGAAAACACAACUGUCAUCCAGACCCCUGAGAAGUAAGAUCUCCAUUUACUCUAGCAGAAAGGGUCAGGAAAUAGUUUGCUAUUCCUUCACCUGGAGGCAUAUUGGACAAACCAUUUGGCCAUCUGUGAGAGCAUCAUGCGGCAGCUUCCUCAGUGAUCCCUGGGCUUUCUCAGCCUAAGAUCUCCCUCCCACACAAACCUCUCUUUUCAACUCUGGAGAAUAAUGUUUAGGCUUUUCUUGAGAUCCAGCCUAAACGUAAGCUCCCACACAAAGCCUCUCUGGCAUAUGUUUUCCUUUCCUGGUACAAUUAGUUAUCACAGAGGACAGAAGAUGAAUCCUGAUGCUGACUUUGCUGGCCACGUGACACUGUAUAAUGUGUUUGGGCUCUCUGUGUCACCAUUUUCUCAUCUGCAAAAUACUGUAAAUCAAUCUCGCAGGGCUGAUGCGAGGACGAAACAAAAUCAUACCUUUCAAUAUUCUAACACAAUCACUGGCACAUAUACAGUGAGUAUUUUCUGGGUUUUCUGAUUUUGCCACUUUCUAGCUAUGAGACCUUACUUAGUCAAGCAACUUACCCAUUCUGUUUCAGCUAUCCUAUCUAAACACGAGGAAAAUUAUAUUUAUCUCACAAAAUGAUUGCUGGGAAGAUUAAAGACAUAACACAUGAAUAAUUCCUAGCACAAAAUCUGGUACCCAAAGGCAGGUAUUUUUUUCUUCUGUAUUUCAUAGACUCUGGUGUACCUAAAUUAUUGAUUCCACAUUUGAAAAGCAUGGACACUUUUUUUUCACAUUCAAGAGCUAUCACUUCACUCGUAUAUUUACAUCACACAUUUGUAAUGCAAAAUUCUGUCUGUAUCCCUAGUUUUCACUGCUUUUUGGAGUGUUAUCUUGUAGUAGAAUGCCUAGAAUGGAAAUAUCCUUGGUAUUUUUAAGCCCUUAACCAAUUAAAUCAAUAAACCAAAUGAAUCAAUAAAAGUGCAUCAGUUCUUGAAAGUUAUUUUGAAUCAUUGAAGAGCCUUUCCUCUGGCAAAUGUCUUUUCCUAAAAGGAUAAACAAGUUUGCUCUGAUUUUCUAUCUUGGUAACUUGAGUCUCAUUUUGCAUUGAAACUCAUUCCUGAGUGUAUUAAAUCUGAAGCAAAUU
rnacentral:lncRNA from 1 species